GGGUGACUGCGUACCUUUUGUAUAAUGGGUCAGCGACUUAUAUUCUGUAGCAAGGUUAACCGUAUAGGGGAGCCGCAGGGAAACCGAGUCUUAACUGGGCGUUAAGUUGCAGGGUAUAGACCCGAAACCCGGUGAUCUAGCCAUGGGCAGGUUGAAGGUUGGGUAACACUAACUGGAGGACCGAACCGACUAAUGUUGAAAAAUUAGCGGAUGACUUGUGGCUGGGGGUGAAAGGCCAAUCAAACCGGGAGAUAGCUGGUUCUCCCCGAAAGCUAUUUAGGUAGCGCCUCGUGAAUUCAUCUUCGGGGGUAGAGCACUGUUUCGGCUAGGGGGUCAUCCCGACUUACCAACCCGAUGCAAACUACGAAUACCGAAGAAUGUUAUCACGGGAGACACACGGCGGGUGCUAACGUCCGUCGUGAAGAGGGAAACAACCCAGACCGCCAGCUAAGGUCCCAAAGUCAUGGUUAAGUGGGAAACGAUGUGGGAAGGCCCAGACAGCCAGGAUGUUGGCUUAGAAGCAGCCAUCAUUUAAAGAAAGCGUAAUAGCUCACUGGUCGAGUCGGCCUGCGCGGAAGAUGUAACGGGGCUAAACCAUGCACCGAAGCUGCGGCAGCGACACUAUGUGUUGUUGGGUAGGGGAGCGUUCUGUAAGCCGUUGAAGGUGGCCUGUGAGGGUUGCUGGAGGUAUCAGAAGUGCGAAUGCUGACAUAAGUAACGAUAAUGCGGGUGAAAAACCCGCACGCCGGAAGACCAAGGGUUCCUGUCCAACGUUAAUCGGGGCAGGGUGAGUCGACCCCUAAGGCGAGGCCGAAAGGCGUAGUCGAUGGGAAACAGGUUAAUAUUCCUGUACUUGGUGUUACUGCGAAGGGGGGACGGAGAAGGCUAUGUUGGCCGGGCGACGGUUGUCCCGGUUUAAGCAUGUAGGCGGAUGUUCCAGGUAAAUCCGGAGCGUCACUAACGCUGAGGUGUGAUGACGAGGCACUACGGUGCUGAAGUGACAAAUGCCCUGCUUCCAGGAAAAGCCUCUAAGCAUCAGGUAACAUCAAAUCGUACCCCAAACCGACACAGGUGGUCAGGUAGAGAAUACCAAGGCGCUUGAGAGAACUCGGGUGAAGGAACUAGGCAAAAUGGUGCCGUAACUUCGGGAGAAGGCACGCUGAUGGUAGGUGAAGUGACUUGCUCAUGGAGCUGAAAUCAGUCGAAGAUACCAGCUGGCUGCAACUGUUUAUUAAAAACACAGCACUGUGCAAACACGAAAGUGGACGUAUACGGUGUGACGCCUGCCCGGUGCCGGAAGGUUAAUUGAUGGGGUUAUCCUCGCGGAGAAGCUCUUGAUCGAAGCCCCGGUAAACGGCGGCCGUAACUAUAACGGUCCUAAGGUAGCGAAAUUCCUUGUCGGGUAAGUUCCGACCUGCACGAAUGGCGUAAUGAUGGCCAGGCUGUCUCCACCCGAGACUCAGUGAAAUUGAACUCGCUGUGAAGAUGCAGUGUACCCGCGGCAAGACGGAAAGACCCCGUGAACCUUUACUAUAGCUUGACACUGAACACUGGUCCUUGAUGUGUAGGAUAGGUGGGAGGCUUUGAAGUGUGGACGCCAGUCUGCAUGGAGCCAUCCUUGAAAUACCACCCUUUAAUGGCUGGUGUUCUAACGUGGGCCCGUGAUCCGGGUUGCGGACAGUGUCUGGUGGGUAGUUUGACUGGGGCGGUCUCCUCCUAAAGAGUAACGGAGGAGCACGAAGGUCAGCUAAUCCUGGUCGGACAUCAGGAGGUUAGUGCAAUGGCAUAAGCUGGCUUGACUGCGAGCGUGACGGCGCGAGCAGGUGCGAAAGCAGGUCAUAGUGAUCCGGUGGUUCUGAAUGGAAGGGCCAUCGCUCAACGGAUAAAAGGUACUCCGGGGAUAACAGGCUGAUACCGCCCAAGAGUUCAUAUCGACGGCGGUGUUUGGCACCUCGAUGUCGGCUCAUCACAUCCUGGGGCUGAAGUAGGUCCCAAGGGUAUGGCUGUUCGCCAUUUAAAGUGGUACGCGAGCUGGGUUUAGAACGUCGUGAGACAGUUCGGUCCCUAUCUGCCGUGGGCGCUGGAGAAUUGAGGGGGGCUGCUCCUAGUACGAGAGGACCGGAGUGGACGCAUCACUGGUGUUCGGGUUGUCAUGCCAAUGGCAUUGCCCGGUAGCUAAAUGCGGAAGAGAUAAGUGCUGAAAGCAUCUAAGCACGAAACUUGCCCCGAGAUGAGUUCUCCCUGACUCCUUGAGAGUCCUGAAGGAACGUUGAAGACGACGACGUUGAUAGGCCGGGUGUGUAAGCGCAGCGAUGCGUUGAGCUAACCGGUACUAAUGAACCGUGAGGCUUAACCUU
rnacentral:rRNA from 2 species